rnacentral:misc_RNA from 1 species
UACCAAAGGUCCCAAGUUCAAAUCCCG